ACGGCCGGAUUAGUUCCAGCAGGGUCUUCCCCAUUGAUUUUACGUAACGACAAAUAAAGUAAAAACAGCACCUUCGAUGUUUAGUGGGUCACGUAGCCCAGCCCGUUGAGAGAUGUCAGGACAGAAGUCGGAGAAUGUUGGUUGUAUUUGUUUUUCGAGUGUUUAAUAACACUGUUGACAUCGCUGGUGAAUUGCAAGCCUUUAGCCUACAACCCAUUAGUUGAAAGCCUGUGCAGCUUGGAGAUAAGUCAUUAGGCUACAUUUCACCAGGGUUCCUGAUUAACAACCAACAGUAGGCUACAACUCAAGAGUCUCUAUUUUCCAUCCUAGGCCUACCCUUAAUCCAAUUAGAUGACAUAACUAGAAGAGGGAUUAAUAGUAUAAAACGUAGCCUAUCAAGUCUUUCGUGACGCAAAGGUGAGUUUGCCCUGCUUUUAAGACGGAUGUCUGAGAGGCUAAUCCUGACCAUUGUGGCCACAUCUAAACCUCAACUUCAGUUCAGUACCCUGGACAGCGUUUCUUGUCACUUAUCGCCGAGGAACAUUUGGGACCAGAAAACACCUUAUGCAUUAUUGAACACCUGGAUAUGGCAAAGACGGCUUCAGUUUUACUGGGCUAUUUGAUCUUUAUAUACAUUCUGUCACAAUCGUCCCAUGUGAAUGCGACAUGGGCGGAAGAUUUACCUGAGAAACCGGUUGAGGAAAAAAGACAACUGCUUGGUGUUCUUCAGAAUGUUUUAGAGAAACUUCAGAACCCAAGAAUGGGCAUGUGGGAAAGGAAGCACAGCCGUCUUCCACAAUGCAACAUUGGAGAUUACUGCUAUGUGAAAAAGGGACCGCGUUUUGGCCAACUAUGUGACUGCCCCCGGGCUUCGAAGUGCAACCUCUUCUUCUUAAAAUGUUUAUGACCUGAAUAUUACAUUGCUCAAUAUGUCUGUUUUCUAUGAUGACUGAUUUCUACUUUAAACUGAACAUUUU